GAAGCAAAACCGCGAGGCGGAGCAAAUCGCAAAAAGACCGUCCCAGUUCGGAUUGCAGGCUGCAACUCGCCUACAUGAAGUUGGAAUUGCUAGUAAUCGUGGAUCAGCAUGCCACGGUGAAUACGUUCCCGGGCCUUGUACACACCGCCCGUCACACCAUGGGAGUCGGAAAUGCCCGAAGUCAGUGACCCAACCGUAAGGAGGGAGCUGCCGAAGGUGGAGCCGGUAACUGGGGUGAAGUCGUAACAAGGUAGC
rnacentral:rRNA from 1 species